CGUGCUUAACACAUGCAAGUCGAACGAAGAGCGAUGGAAGCUUGCUUCUAUCAAUCUUAGUGGCGAACGGGUGAGUAACGCGUAAUCAACCUGCCCUUCAGAGGGGGACAACAGUUGGAAACGACUGCUAAUACCGCAUACGAUCUAAACUCGGCAUCGAGGAUAGAUGAAAGGUGGCCUCUACAUGUAAGCUAUCACUGAAGGAGGGGAUUGCGUCUGAUUAGCUAGUUGGAGGGGUAACGGCCCACCAAGGCGAUGAUCAGUAGCCGGUCUGAGAGGAUGAACGGCCACAUUGGGACUGAGACGCGGCCCAGACUCCUACGGGAGGCAGCAGUGGGGAAUCUUCCGCAAUGGACGAAAGUCUGACGGAGCAACGCCGCGUGAGUGAUGACGGCCUUCGGGUUGUAAAGCUCUGUUAAUCGGGACGAAAGGCCUUCUUGCGAAUAGUGAGAAGGAUUGACGGUACCGGAAUAGAAAGCCACGGCUAACUACGUGCCAGCAGCCGCGGUAAUACGUAGGUGGCAAGCGUUGUCCGGAAUUAUUGGGCGUAAAGCGCGCGCAGGCGGAUAGGUCAGUCUGUCUUAAAAGUUCGGGGCUUAACCCCGUGAUGGGAUGGAAACUGCCAAUCUAGAGUAUCGGAGAGGAAAGUGGAAUUCCUAGUGUAGCGGUGAAAUGCGUAGAUAUUAGGAAGAACACCAGUGGCGAAGGCGACUUUCUGGACGAAAACUGACGCUGAGGCGCGAAAGCCAGGGGAGCGAACGGGAUUAGAUACCCCGGUAGUCCUGGCCGUAAACGAUGGGUACUAGGUGUAGGAGGUAUCGACCCCUUCUGUGCCGGAGUUAACGCAAUAAGUACCCCGCCUGGGGAGUACGACCGCAAGGUUGAAACUCAAAGGAAUUGACGGGGGCCCGCACAAGCGGUGGAGUAUGUGGUUUAAUUCGACGCAACGCGAAGAACCUUACCAGGUCUUGACAUUGAUGGACAGAACUAGAGAUAGUUCCUCUUCUUCGGAAGCCAGAAAACAGGUGGUGCACGGUUGUCGUCAGCUCGUGUCGUGAGAUGUUGGGUUAAGUCCCGCAACGAGCGCAACCCCUAUCUUAUGUUGCCAGCACGUAAUGGUGGGAACUCAUGAGAGACUGCCGCAGACAAUGCGGAGGAAGGCGGGGAUGACGUCAAAUCAUCAUGCCCCUUAUGACCUGGGCUACACACGUACUACAAUGGGAGUUAAUAGACGGAAGCGAGAUCGCGAGAUGGAGCAAACCCGAGAAACACUCUCUCAGUUCGGAUCGUAGGCUGCAACUCGCCUACGUGAAGUCGGAAUCGCUAGUAAUCGCAGGUCAGCAUACUGCGGUGAAUACGUUCCCGGGCCUUGUACACACCGCCCGUCACACCACGAAAGUCGGAAGUGCCCAAAGCCGGUGGGGUAACCUUCGGGAGCCAGCCGUCUAAAGUAAAGUCGAUGAUUGGGGUGAAGUCAUAA
rnacentral:rRNA from 1 species